rnacentral:snRNA from 14 species
GUGUUCAUUUCAGCAGCACACACACUAAGACUGGGUCAAUACGGAGAGGGUAAGCAAGGCCCGUGCGCAAGAAUGGCGCAAAAAUCAUGAAGCCUUGUAGACACUU